UCCUACGGGGGGCAGCAGUAGGGAAUCUUCCACAAUGGACGAAAGUCUGAUGGAGCAACGCCGCGUGAGUGAAGAAGGGUUUCGGCUCGUAAAGCUCUGUUGGUAGUGAAGAAAGAUAGAGGUAGUAACUGGCCUUUAUUUGACGGUAAUUACUUAGAAAGUCACGGCUAACUACGUGCCAGCAGCCGCGGGAAUACGUAGGUGGCAAGCGUUGUCCGGAUUUAUUGGGGGGAAAGCGAGUGCAGGCGG
rnacentral:rRNA from 1 species